rnacentral:antisense_RNA from 1 species
UCCAAUGGGCGGGCCGUGGUGGGGGAGCCGCAAGGCUCGCCGGCUCGUUAGAACACCGGUCUGUCAACCCUACUUCGUGCCCGCUCACCCCC